rnacentral:rRNA from 1 species
UACGAAGGGGGCUAGCGUUGCUCGGAAUCACUGGGCGUAAAGCGCACGUAGGCGGAUUGUUAAGUCAGGGGUGAAAUCCUGGAGCUCAACUCCAGAACUGCCUUUGAUACUGGCAAUCUCGAGUUCGGGAGAGGUAAGUGGAAUUCCGAGUGUAGAGGUGAAAUUCGUAGAUAUUCGGAAGAACACCAGUGGCGAAGGCGACUUACUGGACACAUAUUGACGCUGAGGUGCGAAAGCGUGGGGAGCAAACAGG